rnacentral:lncRNA from 1 species
AUUUUGGAUACCGUCCUCGCUGCGGAAAGUUGGGGCAACCUGUUGCUAGUCUGGUCGUUGGUGACAGCGAGGCUUCCGCGCUCGCUGCUGGUGAGCAGCCCCGGCGUGCCCCGCGGGCUGGAAGAGGCGGCGGCGUGAUGCGGCCCGUGGACGCGGACGAGGCGCGGGAGCCCCGCGAGGAGCCGGGCAGCCCGCUGAGCCCCGCGCCCCGCGCCGGCCGCGAGAACCUGGCCUCCCUGGAGCGCGAGCGCGCCCGGGCGCACUGGCGGGCCCGCAGGAAGCUGCUGGAGAUCCAGAGCCUGCUCGACGCCAUCAAGAGUGAGGUGGAGGCAGAGGAGCGGGGCGCCCGGGCCCCAGCACCCCGCCCGCGUGCGGAGGCUGAGGAGCGGGUGGCUCGGCUGUGCGCCGAAGCAGAGAGGAAGGCUGCGGAGGCGGCGCGGAUGGGCAGGCGGAUCGUGGAGCUGCACCAGCGGAUCGCCGGCUGCGAGUGCUGCUGAGCCGGCGAGGCCGCGCGGGUCUGGAGCGGAGCGCGGCGGGGAGUGUCCCGCGUGGAAGGCGCUGGGUAGGCAGGGAGGGGAGCGCAGAGCCGUGCCACGCUCUCCGCGGAGUUGGUUUCAUUCUUUUUUCAUAGGUGGCCAACUGACGAACUGUGUUCACCUGAUAAGGAGUCGUGGCUGCUUGGACAGGCUCAAACCAAGAGAGCCUUUCGUUUUGUCUCCCCUGUUUUUCUGCCUGCGUUUUCUCCACAUUAGCCACUCAAUUUCCAGUACCAUCCUGGCGGAUGACUUCAGCAUUAGAUGGUCAGGUGUAUUUUUUUAUUAAUAGGCGCAUUCAGUUUGGAAAAGACAGCUUUUCAUUAAUGUCCCACGUAAAGGAAUAUGGCCUAUACAGUACGUACGCUGCUGCGUGGUCAUAUUUGUUCCUGUGAUCUUAUUGUAUUUUCAAAGUUUGGAAGUAUACUCGUGUGCUUUGCUGUUUUUUUAUGCUUCCUGGAAUUUGGGGACUCAUGAGAGACUUGAGGUUAGAGUUCUGCAAGUGAGAAGACACUACAUGGUUGCAGCUGCCACAUGAAGAACCCAAGCUCCUGUCAAAGUUGUGAAUGCGACUUUGGAUGAGAUUAAGAAGGCCCAGUGGACGGUUGGUCUUGAAGAGUGGCAGUGUGUGGAUUUGAGGACCUCUGCAGACCAUCAGAUCAAAGGAGGGAGAGCUGUUUUGGGUGUUUUGUUUUUUUUGUUUUUAUAGCAUUUUGCUUUUUCUUGGAAUGUAAUUUUCCUAUGGCAUGUUAACUGGUGCACAUCGUGUAACCUGUCUGGUGAGCAACCUACAAUUGGGAUGAGUUCUAGGUACAUGUGUUUGCUGACUUUGGGGUAAACAACUUUGUUAUAAUACAGUCUCUGCCACAGAUGCAUGUGACCUCUUCAGGGGCCCAGAGUGGCUGAGGAAGGAAAGCUUCAAGCUGGCCAUGGGGGUCCCAAACAGUCAUUCCAGGCUUAGAUGAUGACUAGCCUAGGUCAUCAGAGCCCAGACUCCACAGAGACUAAAAUCAGAGCUCUGUCUUGUUAUGAUAAAUUUCAUUUGCUUGGAAAAAGAAAUGCUGAAAGCCAGUGUUUAGAAUCUUUGUGCAGAUGACCAAAGCAAUUGACUUGGCCAAGAAAAGGCAAGGUCGGGGGAGGAGGGCAGCAAGAGUAGUAGUGGUCUCCUUCCUUACUG